ensembl:snoRNA
GCAUCUGAAUCUUUCCCAUUCCUUGCUGCUAGGAAAGCAGAGGAAAUCCAGGCGGGCUCCCUUCCAUCACAGUGGGACUUGUCUCUACACCUUUGCAACAUCU